CAAAUAAAACAAUAUCUAAUAUGGAAAUGAUAUUAGCUGUAGCAAGGGCUGUGCAAGAUUUUAUACUCACCGAUAUACCUGUAUCUGAUGACUUGAGUGUAAUUGAAUCAACAAAGAGAAGAAAGUAUUUAACGGUGAUCGCCAUUAACACUGCUUUUAGCAGUCGAUAGAGGAGAGACUCUGUUCGUGCGACAUGGAUGCAACAAGGAUAAUAAGUUUGCCUCCAAAGGCAAAAGAAACUAGAGCAUGUGCGGGACAUCCAUCUGAUGAUCUCCCCACAGCCGGAGCAUAACUCUGAUAUUGUUGCUGAGAAUAGCUUUCCACAUUCUGAUUACCAUAGUAAUUACUUGAGUAGCAGAAUUCGGUUGCCAGAUGUUCAAAUCCUGCUGGUUGGCAGCCCGACAAGAGCUCAGGAACAAUCAAGAAACAACUUUCACCUGUAGCACCAGUUCUCGAACAACUAUGGAUACAAAAAGACAAGAGAAUUAAAGAAUUCUCUAAUGUACAGUCUCAAAUACAAAUAAUAUAUGGUGAAAUCGCGGUUACUGCUGAGCACGUAGGUAAUCCUGAAACCGAUGAGUCUGAUUUAUUACCGAAGAAAUUAGAAGAUUCUUAUGUUCAGCUUUGACAACUACAAAAAGAAAAGAGUCAGAGGUUGAAAAAAGUCCUAGAGUUUAUGAGUGCAAUUCAUGAUCUUUGUGCUGUCCGUGGAAUAGACUUUUUAGUAUUGUGACUGAAGUCCAUCCACGCCUUAAACGAUUCCAGUGGCUUGCAAUAUAAAGGCAUUAACAAUGACACUUCAUCUCGGCUGGCUACGACUGUCUCGGCCCUGCAAGAGGAUAAACAACAAAGGAUGUCAACAAGAGCUAAUGUUUAUAUACAUCACCAUGGUGAUUUGGAUAUUACAAAACCGAGCUAUCAUGGUGGGAAGGUGGAUACGAUCAAUCUUGACACAGAUGAGUUCUCUUUUCGUGAUUUGGAAGAUUUUAGUAAGGAAUUUGAAUAUGAUCCUAUAGCUC